GGACUGGCUUUGGCAGCACGGGUACCAGAAUAGGAAGGGUAUGGAGAAGAUUGGCGUGGCCCUGUGCAAGGAUGACACUCAAUUCGUAAAGCGUUCCAAGUUUUA
rnacentral:snRNA from 1 species